rnacentral:rRNA from 1 species
UGCCAGCCGCCGCGGUAAUACGGAGGGUGCGAGCGUUGUUCGGAAUUACUGGGCGUAAAGCGCGUGUAGGCGGCGCUGUAAGUCGGAUGUGAAAGCCCUCGGCUCAACCGAGGAAGUGCAUUCGAUACUGCAGUGCUUGAGUUUCGGAGGGGGUGGCGGAAUUCCCGGUGUAGAGGUGAAAUUCGUAGAUAUCGGGAGGAACAUCUGUGGCGAAGGCGGCCACCUGGACGAACACUGACGCUGAGACGCGAAAGCGUGGGUAGCAAACAGGAUUAGAUA